rnacentral:rRNA from 1 species
GCGAGCGUGACGGCGCGAGCAGGUGCGAAAGCAGGUCAUAGUGAUCCGGUGGUUCUGAAUGGAAGGGCCAUCGCUCAACGGAUAAAAGGUACUCCGGGGAUAACAGGCUGAUACCGCCCAAGAGUUCAUAUCGACGGCGGUGUUUGGCACCUCGAUGUCGGCUCAUCACAUCCUGGGGCUGAAGUAGGUCCCAAGGGUAUGGCUGUUCGCCAUUUAAAGUGGUACGCGAGCUGGGUUUAGAACGUCGUGAGACAGUUCGGUCCCUAUCUGCCGUGGGCGCUGGAGAAUUGAGGGGGGCUGCUCCUAGUACGAGAGGACCGGAGUGGACGCAUCACUGGUGUUCGGGUUGUCAUGCCAAUGGCACUGCCCGGUAGCUAAAUGCGGAAGAGAUAAGUGCUGAAAGCAUCUAAGCACGAAACUUGCCCCGAGAUGAGUUCUCCCUGAGACUUUAAGUCUCCUGAAGGAACGUUGAAGACGACGACGUUGAUAGGCCGGGUGUGUAAGCGCAGCGAUGCGUUGAGCUAACCGGUACUAAUGAACCGUGAGGCUUAACCUUACAACGCCGAAG